ACGGAAGAUCCCGCGGUCUCGAGUCCAGCCAGUUUCUGUGUCAUCUAGCCAAGGCCGGACGGUUGAGCUCAGAUCUGCAAGGCACUCCAUUCACUUCACCCCGCCUCCAAAAAGUUCGACUAUGGUGGCCGGGAAGGACCACACACAGGUGUCUCUGACCUUUGAAGACGUGGCUGUGGCUUUCACCCAAGAGGAGUAGGGACAGCUGGACCAUGUCCAAAAAUCUCUGUGCCAGGAAGUGAUGCUGGAAAUCUCUAGGCUUCUGGUCUCUCUGGCUAGAUCCUCUGAGAGUGGGCAGUUAUAAAAGAGUAUAAUUAUUCCUGUCUUGCUAUGGCCAACCCGCCUCACCUAUCUGUACCCGCUUGUCCUCCAUCAUGGGAGCAAACCACUGGAGUUAUUGAAGUAGACUGUUAACCUUCAAAAACGAGUUAAGGUAUCCUGUCCCCAACCUGGAGCUGUUGUGCCAGCGGGAGCAAGUGCAAGAACCAUGGACAGUGGUCAAGUCCCCCUCCGAAAGCACCAGCUUAGGAGCCACUGGCCAGAUGGAGCCCAGCACCUCAACCAAGUGAGUGCUUUGCUA
rnacentral:lncRNA from 1 species